GCAUAUCAAUAAGCGGAGGAAAAGAAACUAACCAGGAUUCCCCUAGUAACGGCGAGUGAAGCGGGACCUGUGGCUCAAGACAAGAAUCCCGCAAGGGAGUUGUGGUCUAUGGACUAUUUGCUUGCUUCUUUACACGCGGCCAAGUCCCUUGGAAUAGGGCGCCAUAGAGAGUGACAGCCUCGUAGCUGCCGCGUUUUUUGUAGAGUUGCUUUAUGCUUGUAGCUCCGAGAGUCGGGUUGUUUGGGAAUGCAGCCCUAAGCGGGAGGUACGCACCUUCUAAAGCUAAAUAUUCUGGCAAGAGACCGAUAGCGAACAAGUACCGUGAGGGAAAGUUGAAAAGCACUCUGGAGAGAGAGUGAAAAGCACGUGAAACCAUUGGUAGGGAAGCGGAGUGUUCGGGGGACUUUGCUUUCGGGCAAGCUCAGGACCAAGCCAGAUUGAGGGAAAAUGUUGGCCGGAAGGUGGCUCUCCUUUACGGGAGAGUGUUACAGCCGGCCAGCAGCACCUCGGACUGGCUUGAGGACCGCGUCUUUAUUGACUAGGGCCCUGAGACCCCUCGCCGCUCCGACCCGUCUUGAAACACGGACC
rnacentral:rRNA from 1 species